rnacentral:rRNA from 1 species
AGUCAAUAGAUACCCCGGUAGUCCUAGCAGUAAACGGUGCACGUUUGGUGUGGGGGGAAUCGACCCCUUCCGCGCCGGAGCUAAACGCGUUAAAAACGUGCCGCCUGGGAAGUACGGUCGCAAGAUUAAAACUCAAAGAAAUUGACGGGGACCCGCACAAGCGGUGGAGUAUGUGGCUUAAUUCGAUGCAACGCGAAGAACCUUACCUGGUCUUGACAUGCACUGUGUCUCCGGUGAAAGCCGGAUAGAGUAGCAAUACUCGCUUUGCACAGGUGCUGCGUGGCUGUCGUCAGCUCGUGUCGUGAGAUGUUGGGUUAAGUCCCGCAACGAGCGCAACCCCGUGUGAUUUGUUGCCACCCAGUUUACUGGAGCACUCGAAUCAGACUGCCUAGAUCAACUAGGAGGAAGGUGGGGAUGACGUCAAGUCCGUAUGGCCCUUACGACCAGGGCUGCACACGUACUACAAUGCCCAGCACAAUGUGAACCGAAACCGCGAGGUGGAGGAAACUCCUCAAAACCUGGGCUCAGUUCAGAUUGCA